rnacentral:rRNA from 1 species
AUUGAACGCUGGCGGCAGGCCUAACACAUGCAAGUCGAACGAGUGGCGGACGGGUGAGUAAUGUCUGGGAAACUGCCUGAUGGAGGGGGAUAACUAAUGGAAACGGUAGCUAAUACCGCAUACCAUCGGAUGUGCCCAGAUGGGAUUAGCUAGUAGGUGGGGUAAAGGCUAACCUAGGCGACGAUCCCUAUCUGGUCUGAGAGGAUGACCAGCCACACUGGAACUGAGACACGGUCCAGACUCCUACGGGAUGCAGCAGUGGGGAAUAUUGCACAAUUGGCGCAAGCCUGAUGCAGCCAUGCCGCGUGUAUGAAGAAGGCCUUCGGGUUGUACAGUACUUUCAGCGGGGAGGCGUUACCCGCAGAAGAAGCACCGGCUAACUCCGUGCCAGCAGCCGCGGUAAUUC